rnacentral:rRNA from 1 species
GCUGGAAUUGCUAGUAAUCACAGGUCAGCAUACUGUGGUGAAUACGUUCCCGGGCCUUGUACACACCGCCCGUCACACCAUGAGAGUUGAGAAUACCCGAAGUCCAUGUCAAAGUGGCCGAAGGUAGGCUUGAUGAUUGGGGUGAAGUCGUAACAAGGUAUC